CUCGCUAUAUCGCACUUCGCCUUUCGCGGCUUCACUCUAUCGCGGAUUUUAUAUGUAAGCAUAUUUAAAUAUAUAUCGCGGAUUUUUUGCUGGUUCGCGGAUUUCUGCGGACAAUGGGUCUUUUAAUUUCUGGUACAUGCUUCCUCAGUUGGUUUGCCCAGUUGAUUUCAUACAAGGGACGCUAUUGGCAGAUGGCUAAGAAGAAACCCAACUUACUUUUCUCUCUCUCUCUCUUGCGCUGACUUUCUCUGAUCCUGACGUAGGGGGAUUGAGCAGGGGGGCUGUUCGCACACCUAGACGAUACGGACGCUCGUCUAAAAAUGCUGAAAGAUUAUCUUCACGUUGCUACCUUCUGUGCAGCUGCUUCCUGAAGCGACAUGCUGCAUGGUGCUUCGUAUACUUAAAAGCUCGAAGGGCACGUAUUGAUUUUUGCUUGUUUGUUUUUCUCUGUCUCUCUCUCUCUCUCUUUGUCUGCUCCUGACGGAGGGGGUGUGAGCUGCUGCCUUCAACAGCUUUGUGCCACAGUGCUUCGCAUACUUAAAAGCCAAACAGCCCUAUUGAUUUCUUUGCUUUCCUCUGUCUUUAUGACAUUAUCUGCUCCUGACGCGUACUCCUUUGAAGAGGAAGAUAUGUUUGCAUUUUUUUAAUUGUGAGACGGAACUGUUAUCGCUGUCUUGUCAUGGAGCACAGUUUAAACUUUUGAAAAAGAGACAAAUGUUUGUUUGCAGUGUUUGAAUAACGUUCCUGUCUCUCUACAACCUCCUGUGUUUCUGCGCAAAUCUGUGACCCAAGCAUGACAAUAUAAAAAUAACCAUAUAAACAUAUGGUUUCUACUUCGCGGAUUUUCUUAUUUCGCGGGUGGCUCUGGAACGCAACCCCCGCGAUGGAGGAGGGAUUACUGUACUAGCUCUUAGACACAGGUGUGAAGCAGGUGUCUGGAGGAAGCUUUGUGGGGAAAACAACUCUGUUACAUAUUAGUUAGAUGGCCAAAAGCACAGUACUCCACAGCAAGGAAUGUUUCUCACUUGAACCCAGAAAAAAAGAUAAUAUCAUGGAGAACAUACAACUGCACAGUCAAUGAUUUGUCUCUGAUUCAAAGCCAGGACCCUAAAGCUGUGAGGCAGCAAAAGCUAACUUCCAUAUGUCACUUUUGCAGCACUGGUAUGCUUUAGCUUAAUCUGAAUUUGAUCUCUUUAUAGAUAAAUAUCAUAUUCAGAUUGAUUUCAGAAUGUAAGUUGUUAAGCCACCUGAAAAAGAAAAAAAGUGAAUUGAACAAAUGUACCAUUGUUCUGUGUUUAGUACUCAUUGGCAGUCAUUUAUGUGUAGGAUGUGAUUGUUGUUGCAUCUUUUUAAUCCACCUAAAGUUAGAUUAAUGCUCAAUUCUGAGUAUGAACAUAAAUGUUAAUUAAAAUGUAAAAUUUCCUUUUUCAUUUUUGUAAACUUUUAAUGGAGAGCUUAAAGUAAAAGCUUUGAUGCUGAAAACUGGGAUUGGACUUCUCAUUUCCCAAUCAUAAUGAGAAGACCGCUAGUUUCCAAACCUAGCUCUUUAUAACAUGUAAAUCCUCUGCUUCAUGCUUAAGGCUCUGUAGAGUUGAAAUGCAUGCUAUUAAAGUGUUGAUAUUCAUGCCUAAGUAGGUAGGUAGGUCUGGCACCAAAGUAUCUGUCCAGAUAAAGAUUCUGCCAAUAAAUGAAUAGAAUCUGAUAAUGGUACUCUUAGUAGGUCUUGCCACAGAUGCCUUCUAGUUUUUGGUCUUGUUGGUCAUCUGUCUGGGAAGAGAAGCUACAGUGUAAUAGAAAUGUAAUGAAGAGGGAGAACCUCUUAAUGUGUUUGAUGCAUCUGAGAAAUAAACUAUCAUUAAGGCUUGUAUUUUUCCUUUACUUUUUAUUGUAUAUUGCAUGCAUUUUAGUCUGGUGCCACCAAGGGAUAAAUAUGUUCAACUGUCUCAGGUGAGGCAACAAGUGAGCAAUGUCGUUUAAGAAAUCACAUCAGAUUGUUCACUAUGCAAUAUUAUUGCAUCUGCUAAUAAUCCAAAUUAGGAGUAAAAGUGGGACCAAUGCUGUCUUAGAAUAUUUUUUACAAAAGGAA